CCCAAUAAUGACCACUUCUAACCACUGCACAAGAGAAUGGUGCUGUACAUGGCAAUUGCAAGGGGGGGGGGGGAGGGCGACGGGACCUGCUGUGCUGGGAGUCUGGUGGUUACCAUUUCUCAGCCGAGUCCUUUGGGAGGACAGAGAAGAAUCUACCAUGGCAUCUGUCUCACCUUGAUUCCCCCAUUAGACUACCCAUUUCCUGGACUUGGUGGCGGUACGUGAGUGAAUGCAGCAUCCUAUUCUCAGAUAUCCAGCAAAGCCCCAGAGCAAAGAAUCAUAAAACCAAUUCCCCCAACUCAGCCUAUGAGACCUGCCAAACUUCAACCCAGAACCCCAACAAGGACUCUAUGAGAAGAGAAGAUUAUAUACCAGGGGCACUAAUGCACUCACAGCCACAGCUCCUAAAGAAAGCACCGGAAAUGGAAUGUAAUAGUUCAGAAGCAUCCAGAAUGCACAAUGGCCAAAUCAAUGAUUCAUAUGGGAGUCAACAGAGUAAGUCAAUAAAUUGAUACAGAAAAGAAAUUGA